GCCUGGGUGGCUUAGUCGGUUAAGCGUCCGACUUCAGCUCAGGUCAUGAUCUCGCAGUCCGUGAGUUCGAACCCCGCGUCAGGCU
rnacentral:tRNA from 1 species